CAGUAGCCACGGUAAUACGUAGGGUGCAAGCGUUAAUCGGAAUUACUGGGCGUAAAGCGUGCGCAGGCGGUUAUAUAAGACAGAUGUGAAAUCCCCGGGCUUAACCUAGGAACUGCAUUUGUUACUGGAUAGCUAGAGUACGGCAGAGGGGGAUAGAAUUCCGCGUGUAGCAGUGAAAUGCGUAGAUAUGCGGAGGAACACCGAUGGCGAAGGCAACCCCCUGGGCUUGUACUGACGCUCAUGCACGAAAGCGUGGGGAGCAAACAGGAUUAGAUACCCCCGUAGUCCCUGUCUCUUAUAC
rnacentral:rRNA from 1 species